CCUACGGGAGGCAGCAGUGAGGAAUAUUGGUCAAUGGACGAGAGUCUGAACCAGCCAAGUAGCGUGAGGGAUGACUGCCCUCUGGGUUGUAAACUUCUUUUAUAGAGGAAUAAAACGAGUCACGUGUGCCUUUUUGCAUGUACUUUAUCUAUAAGGAUCUGCUAACUCCGUGCCAGCAGCCGCGGUAAUACGGAGGAUCCGAGCGUUAUCCGGAUUUAUUGGGUUUAAAGGGAGCGUAGAUGGGUUGUUAAGUCAAUUGUGAAAGUUUGCGGCUCAACCGUAAAAUUGCAAUUGAUACUGGCAGACUGGAGUACAGUUGAGGUAAGCGGAAUUCGUGGUGUAGCGGUGAAAUGCGUAGAUAUCACGAAGAAC
rnacentral:rRNA from 1 species